ensembl:lncRNA
GGACAAUUGCUGGCCCCCACUUUGUUUACCAUUCACUGUGUAAGCAGCCUGUUCGAUAAAGGCCUCGACAGUACACUUUAUCAAUCCAGUGAAUCAGGUGAAGUGUCCCCGCUCCUACGCAGAGAUUACACUCAAGCUGGCAAGUGAUCAAUUAUCCAAACCCUUGGCUUGACGCAAGUGAUUUAAACCCAAAAUAUGUAAAUAUCUAUACAUCUGCUAUUAUAUUUAUCCACUAGAGCAGGUAAUGAAUGGGAAGUCGAUGUGUUACGGCUCAAACUUAACUUAACUGUUGAGCCGCAAUGAAGGAGAAUAGCUCCUGUGGCCUCCUGCUGCUGUUUGCUGUUCUUUUUAUGGAAACAGAGGAAAGUUCCUGGAAGGUCACCAGCUGAUAGGACAACACACAUGUGACAAAAAGUGAGAGUAACUUCCAGAGUCCAGGAAGGGCAAAGUCUGCAUAAUGGUAUCGUUAGAACAUCAAUACCAUUAAUCCAAAUUAAAUAGCCGGUUUUAGCAUGUCAAUUCACUCUUUGCCAAGUCCUAUUCUAGGUGUCUGUUGAGUGUAUUAGAGUGUUAAGUCGGGUGUUUGUAACCUUUUUAGGGACAAACAACAUGUUAAAAUGUCCUUGGUCAAACUGAUGAGUCACGCAAGAUGUGCCUAGCAACUUUCACAAAUAGAGAGAGGGCGGGAGAUCCAGAGUGAGAGUCUUUUUACAGCUUGUAAUGUCACAGCAUGCAGCUAAGGAGACAGAAGGAUAAAGGAGACAGAGGACAGAAAACGGGUCAACAAUUUAUGAAAUAAAGGUUAGGUAAAAGGAGAGGGAAGAUGCCAAAAGUAAAACAGAAAGAAGGAGAUUCUAAAGUAAAUUAUUAUAUUAAAAAUUGGCUAUUCGGUUUAGCCUGAAUUUUCAGUAUUUGUCAAGAGAGACUAGAACAGUGAAUGUUGGAAGAAAAGAAAGAUGCCACUGACUUGAACAGACGGAUGAGAUAAAGAGGAUAGAGGUCAGGACAGGCGCAAAGUGUUGGACUGUAAUUUGAGUCUCCCAAGAGGCAGUCUCAACCUCACCACUGUCCAAUCACGCACGCACGCACGCACGCACGCGCACGCACACACACACACACACACACACACACAGUCUGCUGAUACUUUAUACCUUUCCUUCACUUCACUGAAAUUACCUCGGGCUGACAGACAGACCUUCAAACUGCAUUAAAAUCCUAUCAAGGACAUGGCGUAUACUUUAUCUCUCUGUUUAUUCUUUAACAACUGUAAGAAAGAAUGAAAUACAUCUCAAACUGAACAACACACAGUGAAAUAAUCUACAGUACUGUCUGACAAUUGACAAGAGGAGGAACAAGCAAAUACUUUUCUUCAUUUGUCAUUGUUUCGCUUCUCUUGCUUUCUCAUUUUUGCUCCAAACCCUUGUGGGAAUAAGCAAAGAACACAGAAAGAUAGGAUUACUCUCUGACGUCAAGCAGAGAGUUAAGUAGACACACACACACACGGACGCACAAACAAUGUUUGUUCGUAUGAUGAUUGAUUAGUCUCGAUGGGAUCAGCUAAACUUCCUCAGGAAAAGCAGUCGCCCACUUCAUUUACAGAGACUUGUGUCGCUCUUACGUUUUCCAACCAAGGUCUUGGAUUAUGAUUGGAACGGUUUCAUUAUUCUGUUCAAAGACUGAAAGGCGGGGUGGUGGGUAGUGUAUAAGGGGGGGUAGAAGUUGGUGUUUAUACAUGCGUGUGUGUCACAGAUUUCUGAAUACUGGAUCCAGGCCCAAAGCUAACAGGAAAUCCUUUAUGACUAGAAGCGCAAAGAGUAACAUAAACAUCUACUAGAUGCUGGAGUAGAGCACUGGGACAGCGAGGGUAAACACUUAGUGUGGGAGAAUGGCUGUUGGGGAUGUGGAGAGCUGAUUACAUUACAACGGAUGAGAAAUGAAAUAGUGUAUUACUUGCAACAGACAUAUAGAUUACGUAUUCUUCUCCCUGGAUAUUUGUGAUCAAAGACUCCCACUUCUCCACUUCAAAUCCAAUUCACAGUUAGGGUAGUGUGAAGUAUUUUAUAUGAAAUAUUGGUUUGGUUGGUUAAAUAAACAAACACACACAAGAGGGAGGGAUCUAACUUCACUUUAUCUCUAAAAUAGCAGCACGCCACCAUCCAUCCAUCUUUUAUUAACGCUCUGCCUUCUCAUAUUGUUUGACUAGAUUAAGAU